rnacentral:rRNA from 1 species
UACGAAGGGGGCUAGCGUUGUUCGGAAUCACUGGGCGUAAAGCGUACGUAGGCGGAUCGUUAAGUCAGGGGUGAAAGCCUGGAGCUCAGCUCCAGAACUGCCUUUGAUACUGGUGAUCUUGAGACCGGGAGAGGUGAGUGGAACUGCUAGUGUAGAGGUGAAAUUCGUAGAUAUUAGCAAGAACACCAGUGGCGAAGGCGGCUCACUGGCCCGGUACUGACGCUGAGGUACGAAAGCGUGGGGAGCAAACAGG